GCCACGUUUGGUGUAUCUCAGCAGGAUUUUAAAAUGUUCGCGGUACGAUAUUACCGCCAACAUUGUCAAAGCCUGAUAAUGACCUCAGCUUCAUGGGGCCUCUCGUUUAUUGCUGCCGUCAGUAUUCUUAUUGCCUACCCAAGACUUCUCGUUCCUGGGAUUCAGACCUUGAGCUCUACGAUCUGGUGGAGGAAAUUCAACAAAACUUUUACAAAUUCCUGUCUCUUGGGCAGUUGGUGGGCAUCUAUGAAGUACUGAAAGGUGAAGAGGAGACAGAGCAGUUGGGACAAAAAAUGAGGAAAGCACUUAAAACUAAUACCCUUGUCACACUGCCGGGCUGAGCCAAGCUGUACUGCUGCUGACUAUAGUUGCUGGAACUGCUAGAAAAAAAUCCAUCACAGUAUGGUUUGGGUCGGCACGGUAGUGUGAACCACCCCUAAAAUUUGCCAUCGGGGAAAUCCUCAAAACCACCCUUUCGUUCUGGUCAACGGGCUACCGGACUGGAGGCAUCCAGUGAUCUACUACAGGCUUGUGAGCUAAGAUGAGCAACGGGGAGCUGGGCUUCCUGCUCUUCCUCACCCUCCCCGUGUGCCACUACGCAGUCGUCUGGUCCGUCUACCUGGAGAAGCAGCUGGAUGAACUUCUGACCAGUAAGAAAAAAAGAGAAGAAGAAAAGGAGGAGGAAGACAAGUGCUGAAGAAUCGCGGUUUGUCGGACAGGAAAAAGA